GACGAACGCUGGCGGCGUGCCUAAUACAUGCAAGUAGAACGCUGAAGGAGGAGCUUGCUCUUCUGGAUGAGUUGCGAACGGGUGAGUAACGCGUAGGUAACCUGCCUGGUAGCGGGGGAUAACUAUUGGAAACGAUAGCUAAUACCGCAUAAGAGUAGAUGUUGCAUGACAUUUACUUAAAAGGUGCAAUUGCAUCACUACCAGAUGGACCUGCGUUGUAUUAGCUAGUUGGUGGGGUAACGGCUUACCAAGGCGACGAUACAUAGCCGACCUGAGAGGGGGAUCGGCCCCACUGGGACUGAGACACGGCCCAGACUCCUACGGGAGGCAGCAGUAGGGAAUCUUCGGCAAUGGACGGAAGUCUGACCGAGCAACGCCGCGUGAGUGAAGAAGGUUUUCGGAUCGUAAAGCUCUGUUGUAAGAGAAGAACGAGUGUGAGAGUGGAAAGUUCACACUGUGACGGUAUCUUACCAGAAAGGGACGGCUAACUACGUG
rnacentral:rRNA from 1 species